rnacentral:lncRNA from 1 species
AGAGUGGGGGUUUUUAGCGGAAUAUAAGAAUCUAUCUCUUAACUUUUAACUAAAAAAACUAAGAACCGGCUCUUAGACCAUGAUUAACCCCAGUCUCUUAACUAGGGUUCUUAUAUUCAGCUAAGAGACUGUUCUUAAUUUUUUUUAGAUUUUAACUAAGAAAAACUAAGAAUCGUCUCUUAAAUAAAAGAUACAAGAGCCGUCUCUUAACCGAAAAGUGUAAAUAACAAAAAAACAACAAAAAAAUGUCAAAUCAUGAGUUAAGAAUCCUGGCUAAGAGACCGGGUUAAUCAUGCUCUUAAAUAUCAUAUUUACGAGUCGGUUCUUAGUUUUUUUAAUUAAAAGUUAAGAGACAUAGUCUUAUAUUCC